GAUGAACGCUGACAGAAUGCUUAACACAUGCAAGUCAACUGUGGCGGACGGGUGAGUAACGCGUAAAGAUCUUGCCUCUCAGAUAGGGACAACAUUUGGAAACGAAUGCUAAUACCUUAUACUGUGAGAGAGCUUUGCGUCCCAUUAGCUAGUUGGAGAGUUAACGGCUCACCACGGCGAUGAUGGGUAGCCGGCCUGAGAGGGUGAUCGGCCACAAGGGGACUGAGACACGGCCCUUACUCCUACGGGAGGCAGCAGUGGGGGAUAAUGGACAAAGGACCAAAGUCUGAUCCAGCAAUUCUGUGUGCACGAAGAAGUUUUCGGAAUGUAAAGUGCUUUCAGUUGGGAAGCAGUACCAACAGAAGAAGUGACGGCUAAAUACGUGCCAGCCGCCGCGGUAAUAC
rnacentral:rRNA from 1 species